UUAGCUGAAACCAAAAUAGAGGUAUAUUACUGUUAAUGAUAAAAAUGAGAUUCUCUCCAGUUAAA
rnacentral:tRNA from 1 species